AACAACAGAGGAGGAGAGGAAAAGUCUACAAAAAUUGGAAACUCAAGAGUCGUCGUAGAUAUACUUAAAAGUAUCAGUUGAUUCAUUUGUCACAUCUUCUUUUUUUUCGUUUUUCUUUUUGGGGUUUGUUUAUACAGAAUUUAGUCCAAUUUAGAAACGAUAAAUGAAGUUUAUUUGAAAUAAAUUGGCUGCAAUGCUUUUUUCUUUACUCAUUUUGAGUGUUUGCAUUUUAGUAUGUUUAUAUUACAGGAUCCAUUACUAGCUAUAUGGUGGUCUAUGUGAUAGGAAAGUGAGACUGAAUUUUGGAACAUAAAUAGGAAAAUAUCUACCGAUUUGAGGUUCGUUUAGAAAAUGAAAGGGUUUUGAGUGAAUCUUUUUUUUUGUCGGCUGGGUUUUGAGUGAAUCUUGAGUAGCUUUUUUCAUUAGUUUAUGGCUUAGAAGAUGAACUUACUUCACUCACUUUUCCUUCAGAAUUGCUUCUUGGUAAGAAACUGUUCAUAUCCCAUCUGGUGGGAUAGAGUAUUUAAGAACACUUAACCUGACACAACACUUAUGAUCAAAUUAGCCAUGGUUUGUAUCCGAUCUCCCAAGUUCUUUAGCUUCAUCCGCGGAAUGUGUUGUCUGCGACUCAGCAAUAUUUUUCUGCCUUUUUUUUUCUUCUUAUGGGAUCCAUAUUAUGUCUAAUUUUGAAGUCGGAGAAAUACACAACUUCAUCAUAAUGGUUUAAAGGAUAUCAGAAAAAUGCAAAAAUAAUUUACAGCCAACCAUCAAAGAUGAUCAUCCUAUCUCAACAUAUAAUAUCGUCAGAAAUAAAAAAACAGAGUAAAACUGCUAACUUUACUCCUUUGUACGACCUUUGGUUGGAGGAGAGGGUUUAUCUGUAGCCACUUUAAACUGUCCCAUCUUCUUCUGCAGAUCAGCUAGAGGGUCUUUUGAAAUCUUUCCCUUGGGACUCUUCUUUCCAUUUCCUACUUUAAGCUCUAGGCGAUAUAACGCACAUGCGUCAGAUUCAUUGAUUUGGUAUUCAAAGAGAUGCCACUCGAAGGGACCUGGAGGUUGUGGAUCCAUAUAGUAAGAUCUCUUCUGGCCUUCUUGUUCCUUCAUCAGUUGUUUUCUUGAUUCAUGCCAACCUCGUCCGCUGUAAUCUGGAAGUGAUCUUUGCUUUCGGUUUCCGCUAUCAUAUGCCCUUCUAGGUUUGUCAAAGAAGAGCCACUCUCUAAUCGUUUCGCCUUCAACUAGUUCAAGAUGAAACAGCUCUGCAAGUACAACAAAAAGGGUCAGGCAAAAAUAAGAAACUCACAUAUGGCUUCUGAGUUUUCAAAGAGGUAAUGAAAUGUUGAACUAAAACAAUGAAAUUCGGCUCUAGUGAGCCAAUGUUCCUAUGUCCUCACCUGCUGCAUUCCAUGGGCAUUUUGUGUUAACAGCUCCUUCACACACAGGGAUGCCAACAUUCUUACCCUGAGUCUUUCCACGAAGAGCUUCAAUCAAUAAAUUAUCUUUCAAACUGAUUCCCCCCGGCCUUAAGACAGGUGCUGUGCCAGGUGAAUCUUCAUUCAGAGCUAGAGUCGCAUGGUAGUUACUGCAGUAAUCCACGUACCACUCUGAUCCCUGAGCAGGCCUUGUGCAAUCCCACAGUGCACACUUGGGUCCGAGAAAGGCAGAUGGAGGCACACGGACACUUGAUGGAGUAGUAAAUUCAGUAAAGUUUUCAAUCUCUUCAGAAGAAUCAAGCUUAAUGGAAGGGCUGUUAUUGAGUUCCUGACGCACUUCUGAGCAGAUAUAAUCAUACUGAGAAGUUAUAUCCAAGUUGCUGAGUUUUUGGUCAUGGAAACCAGGGGCUGUGUUUAUGCUUGAAUCAAACCCUUCAUAUGCAUAAUGGAGUUGCUGACCAUGUGUUUCCGUGUUGUUACCAGCAUCCUGAGAUAGGAAAGAUGAAUUUGUGCAUAAGAACAAUUUUAAAAUUAAGACAAGAAUGAAAAAUAUCAAAAUUUAUAGAUGAAUUGGAAUAUAGAAUCAAUUGUGUUGCAAAUGUCCAGGAAAAUCAAACCAACAAUCCAAAACCAAGAGACAAUAAUGACAACUUGAACGCAGAAACUGUAGCUAGCUAACCUCAACACCACAGGAGAAAUUUCCGUUGAAUGGACUUUGACUAAAAUGUUCAGAUGUCCAUUCUGGAGGGCACAAGCUUUGAGCGAAACCCUCAGACUCAGGCUUUGGUGCAGCAUGUUCCUUUAAUGAACUAGUUGCAUCAUCCUCUUCGUCUAAUUUCAACAAAGGAGCAAACUCAGCAAAUUCCUCAAGGAAUUGGCUAAUACCUUCACCCUGCACAUGUUAAAAACCAAAAGAGCUAAAUCUCCACCGACAAAUCACAAUUAAACAAAAAAACUGCAAUUUUUUAAUCAAACGAGGCUAAUCUCUCAUCACAUACAGAAACAGAAAGCAACCAAGCUUACAGGUUCAGAAUAAUUUCAAGGACUUAAAAAACAAUAAACCAGCGAGAAGUGCAAGUUGUUGGUAAUGCAGUACGAACCAGAAGAGAAGACUCUGGAGAAGGAGCAGUGAGUUCAGCUUGCCACUCACAAAGAUUUUGAGAGAUUUGGGCUUCCAAAAGUGCAAGGUCACCAUGCCGCCCUUCUUUCCUAGCAGCCUGAAGAUGACAGAACCUCUCCUGUAGUUCCCUUAGUUUCUCCUCCAAAUUCUGAUGAGCCGAAGACACGCAUGUCAUCUUCGGAUUGUUUGACAUCUCCUAGACUGAUCAAACCCAUUCAACAAUCAACUAAAACCUAACCACGUACUACCUAAAUUCCAAUUCUCAAGAGGAAGGAACCAAACACAUUACCUCAAAAAUCAAAGCAAGGAAACCGAGUAUUCCAGGAAAUCAAAAGUCGGAUAAGAUUAUAGAAAUCGGCGCUUGGUCUCUCCUUCCUCCGUUUCUAGCUACUUAAUCAACAAAACCAAAACUGAUAAGUUAAUCGGAGGUGUCAGAUAGAGUUCACAACAACAACAAAGCAAAUACCAAUCCAACCUAAAUCAACUAAGAUCUUAAAACUUUAUGAUCUCAACUAAGGAGUAAAAGGAUGAUCCAGGCUCCACCAUAGAUUUAAAAUUAACCAUCAAGAGUUGUGUGCACCAUACUUUUGUAAUCGCAUUAGAGAGAGAGCAAACUUCAAAAUCCUAAGCAGAAACUAUCAAUUCGGAUAUUCCAAACUUCAAUUCCUUAAACCAACUUGCUUAAACAUGUAAACGAAAAAUAGAACCCAGGAGGUAAGAAAAACUCAAAAGCCUGGGAUGAUUCAAGGAUUAGAUCAAAAUCACAAUUCUAUGACAGAGCAAAAUAACAAAAACCACGAAUGAAUAGAGGAAAGCCUAAAUUAAAACUUACUUCCGGAAGAAUGCGAUUCUUCUGUAGAAGCUUAUCGCGAUGAAGAAGAAGAAGAAGAAGAAGAAGAAGAAGAAGAAGAAGAAGAAGAAGGCAAAGGGGUUACAGCGAAGAAGAGCAAUGGAAGGAUUCAUCAAAGGACGACGAUUGCGACGCUUUUGGUUUUCUCCUUUUCCUUAAACGCUGCGUUUAAUUAAAGUGAGGAUUUCUUUUGCUUUUUUUUUUUUUUUUUUCUCUCGGCUUCUUAAGGGUCUAUUGUGAUUUUUCCAAAAACAAAUUCAAAGCUUCUAAAACUUACAUAUUCAAUAGAUAUGAAUUAAUAACUAUAUGAUUUUAUUUUGGGGGAAUUUCAAAAAUACCCCUUUUCAUAUACCUUUUUUAAAAAUACCCCAUUUUCAAACUUUAUCAAAAAACCCAAUAAAAAUGCUGAAAUUUAUCCAAAUAUGUGUGUAAGCUUAUAAAUAUAUACACAAAUUACCUUUAUAUGUGUAUAAAACUUUAUAUACCUUUCAUAAAUACCGUAAAAAUAAAUUAUAAAAACCUUAUAAAAACCGUAUAAACCCUUUUAAAAACCUUUUUAAAACCUUAUAAAACUUAUAAAAACGAUUUAAAACUAUUUAAAACAUUUUAAAAUAUUUGUAUCGAAUCUCCCAGUAGUAGUUAUUAUAUAGAAGUAUCUUAUAAACUAUAUAAAACUUUAUAAUUUUUUAUAUUUAAAAAGGGGUAUUUUUGAAAAUGGAUAGAUAAAGGGGGUAUUUUUAAAAAGUGAUACACCAAAAGGGGUAUUUCUCAAAAAUUCUCUUUUAUUUUUCUAAUUCUUAAAUUUGCAAAAUUAUUGGAGAAAAACUAUAAUAGAGUCUUCCAAUUCUUGCUGGAUGAGACAAAGCUAUGUCUAUGUCUAUGUAAUUCAAAUUUAACACAUAAAAUCGAAAAAAUUUGUUCUGAAUUAAUCCAAAAACAGAAAAAGACCUAAUCAAUACUAAAAUUGAUUCAAUUAACCAUACUAGAACUGUGAGACAUACGACGAUUAUGCUUGACGAAACAAUGAAAAUAAAUCAUGGACUAGCUAAAAAAGCUGUCUUAGAGAUUGUGUUUAUCAUAUAAAAAGUAUUCAACAUAAGUUUUUUUUUUUUUGGGGUUUGAGUUAUUUAUCCACCAAUUUGUUAACGUUUUUAUGAUUUGGAUUGCUGAUUAUAUCUCUCUUCUUUUUUUUCUAUUUCAUCAAGCUGUUCUACUUCUUACACUUGAUACACAUAUUAAACUGUCGGCAUGGAAUUAGUUUAGUUUCAUUUGUACUUAACUAAAGAUUUGAGCUGCAAUAACUCCAAGGUCUAUGUCCUUGAUGCAGCAUACACAAGCCUUGUUUCUUUCCUUAACAGUUUCUACUCAAUGUCAAAAUCAAUUACUAGUAAUUUUCCUUUCUUUUAGUCCACCAUCACUAUUCACUGCAAUCUAUGCUAAGAUACGUUCAUGUACCCAACAUAGAUGUACAUAUAUCUAUUAUAUAUGUAAAUGUAUGCGUGUGUUUAUUAUAUAUGUACUGUAUGUGCAAAAUAUAUAAUGAAGAGAUUUGUGUGGAGCCAAGAUGGAAUAUGAUGAAAAUGAAAUGGCAAGUCUCCUGCAAAGAUAUUGACACAAAAGAUUAAUGCAACACAGAGUUCCCAUACCACAAUAACAUUGGUCUCAAGUAACUUCCAAUUAUAGUAACAAGCAGACACAUUGCAGGCAUGAGCAUCAUGAGUUAGUAGCCCUCUAUUCAAUUCCUCUCUCUCUCUCUCUCUCCCUCUUAAUCAUGAAACUACCUCUUUGUCUCUUCCUUUUUCUCUUAUGUAUUUCUUUAUUAUUUCACCACUCAUCAAAUCUAAUCGAACAUAGCCUAGCUAUAGCUAUACUCAUUAUUCUCCAAUAUAUCUGACCAAACAUGUAACAGACUUAAACCCUAAUAAAUGAUCAUCCGUACAUAUGCACCUCUCUCUCAAGCAAGGAUUAAUAAAGCACCUUCUUCUCCUUUGUCUCCCUUUGACUCUAUAUAUAUAUAUAUAUAACACAGUAACUCCUCCUUAUAGGUAUUCUUCCUUAGAUCCUCAGCAAAACCAAACUCAAGUAUCUCUCUAUAUCUACGGUUUUCCUCAUCCUCCACUCUUUAUUCUUUCUCACUUAUGAAGUAGUUCAUACACACCAUUAUCAUACAUGACACGUUUCUUUAUAUUAUGCAGGGGAGUAUAUAUCACCAUCUGUUAGAGAAUAUGAAGAGAACACAUUUGACAAGUUUCAGCAACAGAAGCACAGCCCAAGAAGAAGAAGAAGAAGGCACUGAUGGUGACAACAGAGUCAUCAUGAAUCACUACAAGAAUUAUGAAGCUGGGCUGAUCCCAUGGCCUCCCAAGAACUACACUUGCAGCUUCUGCAGGAGAGAGUUUAGAUCUGCUCAAGCACUUGGAGGCCACAUGAAUGUCCAUAGAAGAGACAGGGCAAAACUCAGACAGAUCCCUUCUUGGCUCUUCGAACCUCACCACCACAUACCUAUUGCAAACCCUAACCCUAAUUUUAGCUCUUCAACAACACCAGCUCAUCUUGAGCCUCCCCUAACCAACCAGAGAUCCAAAACAACUCCUUUUCCUUCUGCCAGGUCUGAUCUCUUGGACAGUACUACUAGCUAUGGAGGUUUGAUGGUGGACAGAGAGAAGAAAAAGAGCAAUGUAUGUAGCAGAGAGCUCAAGAAGGGUGUCAUCGAUGCAUGUCAUUCCGUAAGAUGUGAGAUUAGCCGUGGGGAUCUGAUGAAUCAGAGAGAUGAUCAUGUCAUGGGGUUGGAGCUUGGGAUGAGUUUGAGGAAUCCCAAACAAGUUCUUGAUUUGGAACUUCGACUUGGCUACCUUUAGAUUCAUUUGAUUAGUUCAAAAUUACAUGCAUGUAUAGCUGAGCAGUGAGCAAGAGAUUGUGAUUGUGAUUGCAUUCAUGCUAAUGGUAUUAAUAUAUAGUAUUAAUUAGGCUUUAAUGGAAGUCAAAAGAAAUUAAAACAAAUCAAAGUUGAAAAAAGCCUCAAAUUUAUUUAUAUAGGUCGCAUGACCUUUAAUCAAAAAA
rnacentral:lncRNA from 1 species